rnacentral:rRNA from 1 species
CCUACGGGAGGCAGCAGUGGGGAAUAUUGCACAAUGGGCGCAAGCCUGAUCCAGCCAUGCCGCGCGAGUGAAGAAGGCCUUAGGGCUGUAAAGUUCUUUCACCGGUGAAGAUAAUGACGGUAACCGGAGAAGAAGCCCCGGCUAACUUCGUGCCAGCAGCCGCGGUAAUACGAAGGGGGCUAGCGUUGUUCGGAAUUACUGGGCGUAAAGCGCGCGUAGGUGGAUAGAUAAGUCAGAGGUGAAAUCCCGGGGCUCAACCCCGGAAUUGCCUUUGAUACUGUUUAUCUUGAGUGCAGAAGAGGUAAGUGGAAUUCCGAGUGUAGAGGUGAAAUUCGUAGAUAUUCGGAGGAACACCAGUGGCGAAGGCGGCUUACUGGUCUGCAACUGACGCUGUGGCGCGAAAGCGUGGGGAGCAAACAGGAUUAGAUACCCGCGUAGUC